GAUGAACGCUGGCGGCGUGCCUAAUACAUGCAAGUCGAGCGAACGGACGAGAAGCUUGCUUCUCUGAUGUUAGCGGCGGACGGGUGAGUAACACGUGGAUAACCUACCUAUAAGACUGGGAUAACUUCGGGAAACCGGAGCUAAUACCGGAUAAUAUUUUGAACCGCAUGGUUCAAAAGUGAAAGACGGUCUUGCUGUCACUUAUAGAUGGAUCCGCGCUGCAUUAGCUAGUUGGUAAGGUAACGGCUUACCAAGGCAACGAUGCAUAGCCGACCUGAGAGGGUGAUCGGCCACACUGGAACUGAGACACGGUCCAGACUCCUACGGGAGGCAGCAGUAGGGAAUCUUCCGCAAUGGGCGAAAGCCUGACGGAGCAACGCCGCGUGAGUGAUGAAGGUCUUCGGAUCGUAAAACUCUGUUAUUAGGGAAGAACAUAUGUGUAAGUAACUGUGCACAUCUUGACGGUACCUAAUCAGAAAGCCACGGCUAACUACGUGCCAGCAGCCGCGGUAAUACGUAGGUGGCAAGCGUUAUCCGGAAUUAUUGGGCGUAAAGCGCGCGUAGGCGGUUUUUUAAGUCUGAUGUGAAAGCCCACGGCUCAACCGUGGAGGGUCAUUGGAAACUGGAAAACUUGAGUGCAGAAGAGGAAAGUGGAAUUCCAUGUGUAGCGGUGAAAUGCGCAGAGAUAUGGAGGAACACCAGUGGCGAAGGCGACUUUCUGGUCUGUAACUGACGCUGAUGUGCGAAAGCGUGGGGAUCAAACAGGAUUAGAUACCCUGGUAGUCCACGCCGUAAACGAUGAGUGCUAAGUGUUAGGGGGUUUCCGCCCCUUAGUGCUGCAGCUAACGCAUUAAGCACCCCGCCUGGGGAGUACGACCGCAAGGUUGAAACUCAAAGGAAUUGACGGGGACCCGCACAAGCGGUGGAGCAUGUGGUUUAAUUCGAAGCAACGCGAAGAACCUUACCAAAUCUUGACAUCCUUUGACAACUCUAGAGAUAGAGCCUUCCCCUUCGGGGGACAAAGUGACAGGUGGUGCAUGGUUGUCGUCAGCUCGUGUCGUGAGGUGUUGGGUUAAGUCCCGCAACGAGCGCAACCCUUAAGCUUAGUUGCCAUCAUUAAGUUGGGCACUCUAAGUUGACUGCCGGUGACAAACCGGAGGAAGGUGGGGAUGACGUCAAAUCAUCAUGCCCCUUAUGAUUUGGGCUACACACGUGCUACAAUGGACAAUACAAAGGGCAGCGAAACCGCGAGGUCAAGCAAAUCCCAUAAAGUUGUUCUCAGUUCGGAUUGUAGUCUGCAACUCGACUACAUGAAGCUGGAAUCGCUAGUAAUCGUAGAUCAGCAUGCUACGGUGAAUACGUUCCCGGGUCU
rnacentral:rRNA from 1 species